rnacentral:rRNA from 1 species
AUGUUGGCCCACAUCGCGUGGCCAGCUAUCCCUUUCUCAAAGCACUGGCCGUCAGGGCACAGACCCAUACGCCUCCUGCUGCUCCUUUCUCCAGUUCGUCUUCCUCCUCUGGAUCGAGACCUUGGAGCCUGCUCCAUGGACCUGUCCAUGGAUACGGAGGGCGAUUCCGAACAGAGGAUUAGCCGCGGGCAUGCGGGCAAUGCUUGUGCUGCCCGGCCUAUAGAGUCCCAGGCUUCUAUCAGCGUCGCCGAGGCUGACAUUCGCCGUGCAGGGGACCUCCGUAGCGGUGGCGGAGAUGCCGGAUUUCUUGGCGAGGACCCGCUCUUGCAAGUUUGUUCGGAGGCUACGAGCAGAUGGACACGCAGGGUAAGGAUCAGAAAGGCCCCCGCUGAGCGCGAGCUCAACCCUAACCGGAAAAGUGCCCUUGAAUUGUCCAUGAGGGCUUUCAUAUUGAAAAGAGAUGGCAAUGUUGUCAACCCAGCUGUCGGGACCUCUUUUGAUUCAUUGGAUGAAGCCUAUCAGUUCUACAAUUUGUAUUCGUGGGAGCUUGGAUUUGGUAUAAGGUAUUCGAAAAGCAGGCUAAAUGUGGAGCGGGUGAAGUGCAUGCAGGAGAUAGUCUGUGGAUGUGCGGGUAAACCGGAGAGGGAGAAUACAAGAUCAACACGGUGCGGUUGUGCUGCCCGGAUCAGGCUGCUUCGGUCGGACGACAAUGGAUGGUAUAUUUCAGAGCACCGGGCGGCACACAACCACUCUUUGUCAAGCACUUGUGGUGAGAAAAUGCAUUGGCCGUCGCACAAGCUCAUUGACCGGUAUACUAAGGAUCUUGUUAGGCAGCUUAGAGAGAACAAUGUCAGUCUUGGAAAGGUUUUUAGCAUAGUUGGUAGUUUUUUUGGAUCAGCUGAUAAUGUGCCAUUUACAAAACGGUCACUAAAGACGCUGUGUUGCAAGUUGAACAAGGAGCAGUCUGAUUCAGAUGCCCGAAAAACAAUGGACGUACUUGCGGAGAUGAAAGCAAACGAUCCAGAAUUCAACUAUACUGUCCAGGUUGAUGACGAGAGCAGGAUUAAGACACUUAUGUGGGUUAACGGGCGUAGUGUGGACCAGUAUAGGUGUUUCGGAGAUGUUGUAACAUUUGAUACCACAUACAGGACAAACCUAUAUGACAUGCCAUUCGGUCUGUUUGUAGGAGUGAACAAUCACUUCCAGAGCAUAAUUUUCGGAGGUGUCAUGCUGAGGGAUGAGAAGGAGGACACAUUCAAGUGGGUUUUCCGUGAAUUCAUCAGGAUGGUCGGGGGUAAACACCUGUAA